rnacentral:rRNA from 1 species
GUGAAGCUAGAAGGCCCACGGGUCGUGAACUUCUUUUCUCGGAGAAUAAGUAAUGACGGUAUUUGUGGAAUAAGCAUUUACUAACUCUGUGCCAACAGCCACGAUAAGGUAGAAGAUGC